ACUGACUGACUGACAGACUGACUGACUGAUAUACAGACUGACUGACUGAUAUACAGACUGACUGACUGACAGAUAUACAGACUGACUGAUAUACUGACUGACUGACUGACUGACUGAUUGAUAUACUGACUGACUGACUGAUAUACAGACUGACUGACUGAUAGACUGGUUCUGGCCCUUUAAAUGCUCUGACAAAGGAUCUGCAGUUUUGCUAUGCACUUCGGAUGCAGAGUGUGAAGGAAAAAAAACCUGUUUUAUGGACUUAGUUUGACUGUUUUAUUCCCCUCCCUCCUAGAACACCAGUUUAAAAACCCUUAACUGUCAUAUUUUCUUCUUCUGAGGAGUUUUUUUUUGCUGCGUGAGUGCUGUGGCUUUGUGUGCUCAUUAAAACAGACCUGUUUGACCCUUUCUUGAAGCCUUGGCUCAUGCUUGGAGGAUGGGAUAAGUCUGCAGUGCUGAUGGUGUCGGUUGGAGUGCUUGAAGUCCUCGGCAAGCACUAGGAGCAUCGAUUGGCGGAGGUACUCGGUCGGAGUGCCAGCGGGUCCAUCACAAUUGGUGGCAGCGACGGGAUUCAAACCUCACAGCAGACCGUUGUUCGGCAGUUACAGCCAUUUGGGAAAUUUGCUAUUUUGUAUGGAACCGAAAGGAAAGGGUAUGUGAAUAUACCCGAACGGAUAGUGAAUGGGGACAGACUAUACCAACUUGAAACAGGCCACGCUAAAAGAACUACUGGAGCAAGGGGAAUUAUUGCCAGCAAUAAAACCAAAGCUACCCUUAUUGCUGAACUCAUGGAGGGAGACUGGGCAGCUGCUGCAGCACCUCUUAUGGACAGCACACAGAAUGAGUUUGGAAGAGAACUCCAAAGCAGACAGGCCUUUUUCCCAGGUACGCCUCCCACAGAAACCUUGGAAAGGAUUAUGUCAGAUGUCCACGAAUACAUAAUGGAAAAGCAGCGGGCAGACCGGAGGUCCAGAGAGGGGUCCCUAAUCACACCACACAUAGUACCGGGGAAGCCUAAAAUCCCGUACCAUGCUUUUAAAAACUAUGUGGAGACCGAAGACAUCGAUGGCUACUUGCAUGACUUUGAGAGGUUAUGCCAAUUACAUGAGAUCAACGCCGCCGACCAGGUACCCCUGUUGGUGGGUAAGCUAGCGGGCCGGGCAGCAGAAGCCUACUGCACCAUGCCAGACGAGGAUAGCAGAGACUACCAGAAAGUAAAGCAGGCGAUCCUGGACAGGUAUGCAAUUACCCCAGAGACAUACCGGCAGCGGUUCCAAGAAAGCCGAAAGACGGAGAAAGAUACAUGGAGUGGGCACACCGCUUAACUAGGGCGGGCAAAGGUUUGGUGCAAGCUGCACAAGCAACCACAGUGGAGGGCAUGCUACAAUUACUGCUACUGGAGCAAUUCUUCCAGAGGUUAACCCUCGGAUUUACAAAACUGGCUGAGGGAUCGGAAAGCGCGCAUCUUAACUGAUGCUGCCAGGUGGGCAGACGAGUACCAAGAUGCCAGGAGGGCACAGCGGGCACAGGCACGGUCCAUCUUGGGAGCUGCUAACCCACCUCCAACCAUUAACCCCACCCCAGCACUGCGUCCGGGUGGUGGGAACUACCAAACCCCUCCACGGUACAACAAUGCCCGAUCUUUCAUCAGGUGCCACACGUGUAACCAGCAGGGCCACAUGCAGAGAGACUGUCCCAGAAACAGAAACCGCUCCACGUGGAAUACUCCAACUAAUUCCCCUGCAAACCGGGCAGCAGUACACUGCUACCAGAGUGAGCCUCGACAACCUUUCUUCGGGACCUGGUCUAAUGAAGAAUCUUUGGGCACCCUCCACGAGGUUAACCCAGUACAAGCAGCUGCAGACAACCGACAGGGACACCGCCAAGGGGUACACGUAGAGGGAAAACACCUUCAGGGUCUGCGCGAUUCUGGGGCCACCAUAACCCUGGUUCGCAAUCACCUAGUCCCCAAGCACCAGCUCACUGGAGAAUAUGUGGCAGUCCGGGUGGCAGGGGGAGCGAUUUACAAAAUUCCCACUGCUAAAGUACAUUUGGAUUGGGGAGCGGGGUCGGGGAAUGUGGAAGUGGGCCUCAUGCAGGACUUACCAGCUGAUGUCAUCCUGGGUAACGACUUGGGGGAGCUGACCUCCGCUUUUGUUUCUCAGCACCCCGCGCAGGAAGCGCUACCCGUGGUAACACGGCAGCAGGCCUGCACCACCGCAUCUUCUGAACACUCUGAGGCUCCGGUAAGUAACAGUACUGACCCACCUUUCAUCCCCUGGGCUCCCCCCUUAGAAUUUGGUACUGAAGUAGUCACCGACCCGUCCCUGCAGGUAUACCGGGAUAGGGUUACACAGAAUCAGGCAGGGUUGGAGGGGGAAAGAUACGCUUGGGAGAAAGGAUUAUUGUAUAGAUAUGCUGAGAAGGUAGUAGCAGGAUCUGUACCCAUGACCCUCACACAAUUAGUCGUGCCCCGAAAGUACAGGCAAGAAUUACUACGUAUUGCCCAUGACAUCCCUUUAUCAGGACAUCUAGGCGUCAGUAGGACGAAGCAUCGUUUGACCCCAAACUUCUUUUGGCCAGGGGUCUCCAAAGAUAUUCGGCAGUAUUGCCAAACUUGUGACACAUGCCAGAGAGUAGGGAAGAGAGGGGACCGGUACAAGGCAAAAAUGCACUCCCUACCCAUAAUAGAUGAACCCUUCAGUAGAGUGGCAGUAGAUAUAAUCGGACCCCUAGCAAAACCCAGCCCAUCAGGGAAGAAGUAUAUACUAACCGUAGUAGACUAUGCCACCCGGUACCCAGAGGCCGUAGCCCUAACUAAUAUCCAUGCGGAGACUAUAGUAGAUGCCCUAAUCCGGAUAUUCUCCAGAAUGGGGUUCCCCAAAGAGAUCUCAGAUCGGGGUACCCAAUUCACAGCCAAAGUCACUCAUCAGUUAUGGAGAACAUGUGGGGUGAAACCUAUUGUAAACUCAGCGUAUCACCCCCAGUCCAAUGGGCUCUGUGAACGGUUCAACGGAACCUUAAAGCAAAUGCUCCGUACCUUCAUGGAUACCCAGAAGGACUGGGAAAGGUUUCUUCCCCAUCUGCUCUUCGCGUACCGAGAGGUACCCCAGGAGUCCACAGGGUUCUCACCAUUUGAAUUACUAUUCGGAAGGAGAGUGCGGGGUCCCUUAGACCUCAUUAGGGAACACUGGGAGGGAACAGUCACCAGUAACGGUACCCCUAUUGUCCCAUAUGUACUAGAGUUCAGGGAACGCUUGGAGACCCUAAUCCAGACGGUACAGUCUAAUCUCCAGGCGGCCCAGCAACGACAGCGCAGAUGGUACGAUAGGGGAGCCAGAGACCGCAGUUUUCAAAUAGGACAAAAGGUGUUAAUCUUGAAGCCAGUCCAAAAUGACAAACUGCAGGCCUCCUGGCAGGGCCCUUAUAAGGUGGUGGAACAGGUAUGUGACACCACCUAUAUAAUUGCCCUAUGUACAGGAGCAGGCGGUAGACGCAUGCUCCACGUUAACAUGCUGAAACCCUAUCACGAGCGGACCGAAGAAGUAACUGCCAUAUGUGCCUCGGUCGCCGAGGACCCGGAUAAUCUACCCUUACCAGACCUAUUAGCCCAAGGGGGGGCCAACACCGAAUUAGGGGAAGUACAGCUAGGAGACAGGUUGAGCACUAGAGAGCGAGCUCAAAUACUAGAGCUGAUCCGGGAAAAAGGGGAUACAUUCUCCAACCAGCCCGGGUAUACCCUGCUGGCUACCCACAGGGUAGAAACCCCAGGGCAACACCCUCUUCGACAAACUCCCUACCGCAUACCCGAAUCCGUAAAAGAUCAUAUGCGGAAGGAGAUUGACGAAAUGUUACAACUAGGGGUGAUAGAACACUCAGCCCAUGGGCCUCUCCGGUAGUGCUGGUACCGAAGCGGGACGGAACCACCCGCUUCUGCGUCGACUACCGGAAACUUAAUGAUAAAACAAUUUCAGAUGCCUAUCCCAUGCCCCGAAUCGAUGAGCUCUUAGAUAAAAUGGCCAGGGGCCAGUACCUCACCACAAUAGGGUACUGGCAGAUCCCACUAGCCGAGGAUGCCAUCCCAAAGUCCGCAUUCGUCACCCCGUUUGGGCUAUACCAAUUCAAGGUGAUGCCAUUCGGGAUGAAGAAUGCGCCGGCUACAUUUCAGCGGAUGGUGGACCGGUUACUGGACGGAUCCCAGGAGUAUGCUUGCGCCUAUUUAGAUGACAUAGCAAUAUUUAGCAACUCCUGGGACGAGCACUUGACCCAUAUAGGAGCCAUCCUCGACCGCAUUAGGGAGGCAGGUCUCACGUUAAAACCCAGCAAGUGCCAUGUAGGGAUGGCCGAAGUGCAGUACUUAGGCCACAGGGUGGGCAGCAAAAGCCAGAACCCGCUAAGAUAGAGGCCGUAGCUAAGUGGCCAACCCCUUGCAAGAAAACUCAGGUUUUAGCUUUUCUAGGGACCGCCGGGUAUAACCGUAAAUUUGUACCUAAUUAUAGUGCCAAGCCCCUUACUGACCUCACCAAAAAGAACUUACCCAAAGUAGUGACCUGGAGCCCACAGUGUGAGAAGGCAUUCCAAGAACUGAAAACUGCCCUAAUUCAUGCCCCUGUACUGGCCGCUCCCGAUCCAACUAAACGCUUUCUUGUUCAUACAGAUGCUUCUAUGUUUGGAUUGGGAGCAGUGCUGAGCCAAGUUGGGGCCGAUGGCGGCGAGCAUCCAGUCGCUUACUUAAGUCGGAAACUACGACCCAGGGAAGUAAGCUAUGCCGCCAUCGAAAAGGAAUGCCUGGCGGUGGUGUGGGCCCUCAAGAAACUACAGCCCUACUUAUAUGGACAACAAUUUGCCUUGCUCACAGAUCACAACCCGUUGGUGUGGCUAAACCGGGUGUCAGGCGACAACGCUAGACUACUGAGAUGGAGCUUGGCACUACAACCAUUUGAUUUCACCAUCCAGUAUCGCCCAGGGAAACAAAAUGGUAACGCCAACGGGUUGUCCAGACAGACAGAACUCGAGAAAUGAUCUGUGAGCACUCCUCCGGACAUCCCCAAGAAGAUCCGUUGGGAUCAGACUGUGUAUGCCGGCUUGGUUCUGGGGGAGCAUUGUGGCAGAAGCAGCCACAAGAGACUUUUGCAUUGAUUAUUGCCUGUAUUUGAACUGUAUGUUAUUUGAGCAUAGUGGAUUUUAUUAGACUGGUUCUGGCCCUUUAAAUGCUCUGACAAAGGAUCUGCAGUUUUGCUAUGCACUUCGGAUGCAGAGUGUGGAAAAAAAAAAACUGUUUUAUGGACUUAGUUUGACUGUUUUAUUCCCCUCCCUCCUAGAACACCAGUUUAAAAACCCUUAACUGUCAUAUUUUCAAACGCUGUCAGUUUGUUUUCUUCUGAGGAGUUUUUUUUGCUGCGUGAGUGCUGUUGCUUUGUGUGCUCAUUAAAACAGACCUGCUUGACCCUUUCUUGAAGCCUUGGCUCAUGCUUGGGGGAUGGGAUAAGUCUGCAGUGCUGAUGGUGUCGGCAAGCACUAGGAGCAUCGAUUGGCAGAGGUACUCGGUCGGAGUGCCAGCGGGUCCGUCACACAGACUGACUGAUAUACUGACUGACUGACUGAUAUACUUACUGAUUGAUAUACUGACUGACUGAUAUACUGACUGACUGACUGAUAUACUGACUGACUGACUGAUAUACUUACUGACUGACUGACUGACUGAUAUACUUACUGAUUGAUAUACUGACUGACUGACUGAUAUACUGACUGACUGACUGAUAUACUGACUGAUAUACUGAC